AUUGAACGCUGGCGGCAUGCCUUACACAUGCAAGUCGAACGGCAGCACGGGUGCUUGCACCUGGUGGCGAGUGGCGAACGGGUGAGUAAUACAUCGGAACGUACCCAGUCGUGGGGGAUAACGUAGCGAAAGUUACGCUAAUACCGCAUACGAUCUAAGGAUGAAAGCGGGGGACCGUAAGGCCUCGCGCGAUUGGAGCGGCCGAGAUCAGAUUAGGUAGUUGGUGAGGUAAAGGCUCACCAAGCCAAGGAUCUGUAGCUGGUCUGAGAGGACGACCAGCCAGACUGGAACUGAGACACGGUACAGACUCCUACGGGAGGAAGCAGUGGGGAAUUUUGGACAAUGGACGCAAGUCUGAUCCAGCCUUUCCGCGUGCAGGAUGAAGGCCCUCGGGUUGUAAACUGCUUUUGUACGGAACGAAAAGGUCUCUCCUAAUACGAGGGGCUCAUGACGGUACCGUAAGAAUAAGCACCGGCUAACUACGUGCCAGCAGCCGCAGUAA
rnacentral:rRNA from 1 species